GCUAUGCGGGCACCCGCCUGACGUUUUUAUCCCGGAUCGAACGAGGGGAAGAGCGUGGUCAUGGAUCAGCAGGAGGAAGAGGGAGGCUGGAAUGCACCUCGCAUGGCUCUCCAGAACCCUCCAGUCUUUCCCAUACGCUCUCUCAAAGCAUUACCCUGGGGCAGGGCUCCAACCCAAGCAAGGGUGCAGGCCUGAGCAGAACUGAGGAGGAGCAGCAGCAGGAGGAAGGUCCUGAGAACUUGGAGCCACAUGGGACUUUACCGAGUAGGUCGGAAGAGAGAGUUUUUCCAGAGCCCCGAGCAGGAAGAAACUUGCCAGAGGCAGCGCAGGUCACUGAGGCUGCAGCGAAUCUCAGGGGGGAAUGAGCCAGCUACCCCAAGGGACUGUGAAGGGGUGGCCAGGAACCUCCGAGGCUCCCUACGCAGGGAAGACCAAAGACGAGCCAGAGCCCAGCUGCAUGUCACAUGUGUGAACUCAGCUUCAAGGAGAGAGAGACCUUAGCAGACACAAGUGCAGCGUCCACAAGAUAAAGGAUCCACACCAGUGCCAAAUGUGUGGGAAGUGCUUCCGGCUACGGCAGGACCUCAGGAGGCACCAGAGGAUCCACACGGGGAGAAGCCCUAUCUCUGCACUCAUUGUGGGAAGAGGUUCAGCCAGACCGCCAAUCUCUGCACCCACAAGAAGAUGCACAGAGGGGAGCGGCCGUACCCCUGCACCACCUGUGGCAAGAGCUUCCGGCAAGAAGCAGCAGCUGGUGUCGCACAGCCGGAUCCACACGGGGGAGCGGCCCUACCCCUGCACGCAGUGUGCCAAGAGCUUCCGCUGGAAGCAGGCGCUCAGGGUCCACCAGAAAAACCCACGUGGGAGAAGGUGACUCUGAGGGGAGCCAGGCCAAAGGGCGGGUCUUCACCUGCCCCAAGUGCAAGGCCGUCUUUGCUCACAGGCACGACUUCCUAAUGCACCGGCGAGCGGCACACCAGCGAGCGGACCUACCAGUGUGCCGACUGCGGGAGGCGCUUCAGACCAGCGGCAGCAGCUGAUUCCGCACCGCCGGAUCCACACUGGGGAGCGGCCCUACAACUGCCCACUCUGCGGGAAGAGCUUCCGGCCAGGCAGGAGCUGACCACGCACCAGAGAAUCCACACGGACGAGAGGCCUUCCGCUGCCCCGAGUGCCCACUCAGCUUCAGGGAGAAGCAGAAGCUGAGGAGACACCAGAGAAUCCACCACGGGCGAGAGGCCCUAUGCCUGCCCGAGUGCGAGAAACGCUUCCGGCAGAAGCAGCAGAUGGUGUCCCACCCUCCGGAUCCACACGGACGAGCGACCCUAUGCCUGCACGGAGUGCGGGAAACACUUCCGGCGGAAAGACUCCCUCGCCAAACACCAGAGAACCCACCAAAGGGUGCAGACAUAGGGCUUGUCUACACUACCACUUAAGUCAAUGUAACCUAGUUGCUCGGGGAUGUGAAAAAGCCCCCCCACAUACACACACACAAGCGACGCAAGUUACAUCGACUUAACACGGUGUGGGCAGCGCUUUAUGUCGGCGGGAGACACUCUUCCGCCGACAUAGUUUCCUCCUCUCGUUGAGAUGGAGAAAUUACGCCAACAGGCGAGCACUCUCCUAUGGCACAGUGCAUCUUUGCCGUAUGCACUACAGCAGCGCAUGGUAGUGUAGACUAGACCAUAGUCAAUGCAGUUGUCCUGCCCCAAACUCCCUCCUCGCUUCCCCCGUGGAGGGGAAACUGUUUCCACAAGGACUCGGAGAAACCACCCCUGGAGCCAUCACCCCUUCAUAGCUCCCGGCAGAGAACGGAGGGGAAGAAACACUACAGACACACACUCCACACCGGAGAAGGUGAAGGAGCUUCACCUCCAUUCCCUCAAAGGGUCCAGGCAGCCACAGUCUCACAGCACUUAUUGUUUCUUUGAUGUAUUUGAAUCAUUAUAGAGGGCCUUGUCCUUCCCAUGAACCCCCAUAAAGUCCUUCUGUUCUCUCCUCUGUGUAGUUGUCCUAGGACAGGCAGGAUUUCUGAGCUCUCUAUAUUUCAGCUGCCCUGUAAAGGGCAGGACGUUUGGGUGUAUGUGAGGUGCCCUGUGUGGUGGGAGAGACAUAUGCAGGUGAAAACCAUGACAUGGUGCAGUAGUUUAAUGGAUUCAUGGCGCUGAAGGCCAGAAGGGACCAUUAGAUCAUCUAGUCUCACCAUCUGUCUAGCACAGGCCAUUCAAUUUCACCCUGUUACCCCUGUAUUGAACCCAGUCACUUGUGUUUGACUAAAGCAUUUUCCAGAAAGGAAACUGUGAUGCCGGCAGACCCAGGUCAUCGGCGGGCGGGAUUGAACCAGGGAUCUCUGGAGCUUAGUGCAUGAGCCUCUACCACAUGAGCUGAAAGCCAACUGGCUGCUAGCUAAGGCUGUAGAGCAGACUCAUUAAUUUCUCUCUUUCUAAGUGGUCUAGGUGCCACUAGAGGGGACACAACACCACACCCAGGAGGUGUGUGGGUUACACAACCAGUCUUGUUCAAGAGAUGGAGAAUCCACUCUUUUUUUCCUGGUAGUUUGUUCCGGUGGUUAUUCAUCCUCACUGUUAGAAACAUGUGCCUUAUUUCUAACUUGCCUUCAGCUUCCAGCUCUUGGUUCUUGUUGUGCCUGUCUCCGCAAGAUGAAAGAGCUCUGUGGUGCCUGGCAUUUUCUCCCAAUGAAGGUAAUUCUACAUUGUGAUCAUGUCACUUCUCAAUCUUCUUUUUGAUAAGCUGAACAGAUGGAGCUCUAAGUCUCCCAUCGUAAGGCAUUUUCCCCAGCUCGUGAAUCCUUUCCCUGUCUGUCUUCUGCACCCUCUCUAAUUUUUCAACAUCCUUUUUAAAAUGUGGACACCAGAACUGGAGGCAGUAACCCAGUACUAGUAGUCUCCUCAGUGCUGAAUACAGAGGUAAAAUCACUUCCCUGCUUCCCUCUUUGCACACCCAGGAUCACGUUAGCCCUUUUUUGCCACAGCAUCGGACUGGGAGCUCGCAUUGAGUUACUUGUCCACUAGGACUCUAAAUCCUUUCCAGAUUCAUUGCUUUCUGGGACAAGUCCCCUAUUCUGUAGGGAUGGUCUGCAUUCCUUGUUUCUAGAUAUAUAACUUUGGGUGUGGCUGUAUUAAAAUGCAUUGUGUUUGAAUGGACCCAUUUUACCUAGCAAUCCAGAUUGCUCUGUAUGACUGCCCUGUCCUCAUUAUUAUUCCACACUCUGCUAAUUAUUGUGUCACCCACAGAUCUGAUCAGCGGUGAUUUUAUAUUUAUGUCCAGAUCACUAAUGAGCGUGUUAAAUAGCACUGGGCCUAGUGCCAAUCCCUACAGAACCCCACUAGAAACACUCCCCUUCAGUGAUGAUGGUUCACCAUUGACAACUACUUUUUGAGCUCUGUCAGCUUGUCAGUUCUUAAUCCUUUUAAUUGGCAUUUUAUUGCUAUCGUACAGUGCUAAUUUUGUAAUCAGAAUGUCGUGGUACUAAGUCAACCCUCUUACAAGUCUAUUAUAUGUAGAAUUAACUUUGUCAACCAAACAUGUAAUCUCAUCAGAAAAUGACGACAUGUUUUUUAACAAGACCUAUUUUCCAUAAAACCAUCUUGACUGGAAUUAAUUAUAUUCCUACUAUUUGAUUCUUUAUCAACUGACUCCUGUAUCAGCUUUUCCAUUAUUUUGUCCAGGAUUCACAUUAGGCCACCUGGCCUGUAGUGCCCUGGGUCAUCCCCUUGCCUCUUUGAAUAUUGGCACAACGUUACCACUCCUCCAGUCUUCUGGAAUUUUCCUGGUAUUUCAAGAUUUAUUAAAAAUUAACCAUCAGCGACCAGACCUAGGUGUCUUGGGUGCAAUUAUUUAGGCCUGCUUAUUUAAAAUGUUUAUCCCUAGGAGAUAUUGUUACAUUCUCUUUGGUUACUAAUGGUUGGAAAGUACUCCAUCAUCCUCAUAUGAUAUGAGUACAUCAUCCUGCUUCUUUCCAAAUACAGAACAGAAAAUUUAUUAACAUUCUGCCUUUUUUGCAUCAUUAUUAGCCAUUUUAACAUCUCCAUCAAGUAAUGGCCUAUACUAUUGCUAGAAUUUCUUGUUCUUAAUACACUUAAAAAAACUCCUUGUCCUGAUUCGUGCCAGCUCUGGAUGUUUCCCAAAUGUUUUUAGCUUCCCUUAUCAAUUUCUACACUUCAUAACUUCUAAUUUGCAUUGAUUGCUAUCUAGUCCCUUUUUUUCCAUUUGUUAUACUGUAUAUUUUUUUAUUGGCUGCCUUCAAUUCACCCCUGAACCAGGAUGGCCUUUUAGCCAAAGUCGUCAUCUUUUUGAUUGUAGAAUUGUGGCUUUUGGCCAACUAAUAAACUCUUCUUAAAGAACUCCCAAUUUUCCUUCACACUUUUCUAUCUAAAUUUUUCAUCACAAUCAAUUUCCUUUAGUCUAGGGAAAAUUAGCCCCUUUGAAGCACCAAGCCUAUAUCUUAUAAUAUAUGGGACUAUAUUGGGAAUAUAUAUAUUACAAUAAGUUGGGACUGUAAUGUGCAUGACCAUGUGAUCUUAUUGUUCCCCUCAUCCCCAUAUCUCCGUCUUCCCUCCUAUUGUUUUUUAUACUUAUGUUUUGUUUCCAAUUAGAUUGCAAGCUCUUUGGGGCAUGGACUCUCUCUCUCUCUGUUUGCAUAGCUCUAUGCACAGUGUGGCCCUGAUCCGGACUCCAGCCUCUGGGUGCUACCACCUUAUAAAUAAUAAUAAUGAAAAGAUGAUUUCUCCAAUGUAAUCUGGAGGUCGGUGCUCAUCUGACAGAAAGCGUCACAGUCUGGCAGAGCUGUGCAAAACUGGUGAAAAAUGUCUCUGUGAAAUCUUGCAGAAACAUUUUUGUGUGAUCUUGGGCUUCUCAUAUUUCACUUUUCCACUCAUCUAGACCAUGCCUAAAUAUUGCUUUUUCUUUCAUAAAAUUUAAAAGUUUUAAAACCUUUCUGUUUUAUCCCAUCAUCUGAAACUCUCAUCUGUGCUCCAAUAUUCUCCAAUCCUGAUUACCACAGUCUUCUCCAUUUCAGCUUCCACAAUGCCUUAUUGGCCCUUUCCAAUUCAUCCAAAAUGUAGCUGCUAUGGGCCAGGAAGGAAAGCACUGUCUUUGCUUCUGGAAAUGAUCAUGAAAUUGCCAGAGUAUUCCUUAAAUAUUAAAAUACAGGCCUCACAAGGAGCUUUUCAUAGAGAACGACUUCGGGGAGUGCCUAUAAAUUGUGAAAGCCUGGAGCUGCAGGAGUAUGAAGUAAAUAUGCCUCAGCUACUUCUGGAAAUAAAACUGUCACCAGAAUAAUGAAGUGAGCUGUAGCUCACGAAAGCUUAUGCUCAAAUAAAUUUGUUAGUUUCUAAGGUGCCAAAAGUACUCCUUUUC